rfam:Gossypium raimondii Chr03_contig_1058, whole genome shotgun sequence.
UGUUAAUAGUUUCAUCUAUUUCUACUGUUAAAAACUGAUGUGGUUGACGAAAAAACCAGACAAUUACACGCGAUGUGUCAUGUGUACCUCAUGUUAACAUAUAUGGACCAAUUUUUAACAGAAUGAUUGGUUUGCUCUUUGGUCUAACA